rnacentral:tRNA from 2 species
UCGGGGGUCGUUCAACUGGCAGGACAAUUGGCUCUGAACCAAUUAAUCGGGGUUCAAAUCCCUGCCCCCGAG